rnacentral:rRNA from 1 species
GACGAACGCUGGCGGCGUGCCUAAUACAUGCAAGUAGAACGCUGAAGGAGGAGCUUGCUUCUCUGGAUGAGUUGCGAACGGGUGAGUAACGCGUAGGUAACCUGCCUGUUAGCGGGGGAUAACUAUUGGAAACUAUAGCUAAUACCGCAUAAGAGUAUAUGUUGCAUGACAUUUGCUUAAAAGGUGCAGUUGCAUCGCUACCAGUUGGACCUGCGUUGUAUUAGCUAGUUGGUGAGGUAACGGCUCACCAAGGCGACGAUACAUACCAGACCUGAGAGGGGGGUUGGCCACCCUGGGAGGGAGACACGGCCCAGACUCCCAGGGGAGGGAGCCGUAGGGAAACUUAGGGCAGCGACGGAAGUCUGACCGCGCAAAGCCGAGUGAGUGAAGAAGGUUUUCGGGUCGUAAAGAUCUGUUGUCAGAGAAGAAAGAGUGUGCGAGUGGAAAGUUCACACUGUGACGGUAUCUUAUCAGAAAGGGACGGCUAACUACGUG